rnacentral:tRNA from 1 species
AGUGGAAUAGCAAAAUGGUUAUGCAACAGUCUGCAAAGCUGUUUUAUAUCGGUUCAAUUCCGAUUUCCACUU